rnacentral:rRNA from 1 species
AUGCAAGUCGAGCGGGGGAAGGUAGCUUGCUACUGGACCUAGCGGCGGACGGGUGAGUAAUGCUUAGGAAUCUGCCUAUUAGUGGGGGACAACAUCUCGAAAGGGAUGCUAAUACCGCAUACGUCCUACGGGAGAAAGCAGGGGAUCUUCGGACCUUGCGCUAAUAGAUGAGCCUAAGUCGGAUUAGCUAGUUGGUGGGGUAAAGGCCUACCAAGGCGACGAUCUGUAGCGGGUCUGAGAGGAUGAUCCGCCACACUGGGACUGAGACACGGCCCAGACUCCUACGGGAGGCAGCAGUGGGGAAUAUUGGACAAUGGGGGGAACCCUGAUCCAGCCAUGCCGCGUGUGUGAAGAAGGCCUUAUGGUUGUAAAGCACUUUAAGCGAGGAGGAGGCUACUUUAGUUAAUACCUAGAGAUAGUGGACGUUACUCGCAGAAUAAGCACCGGCUAACUCUGUGCCAGCAGCCGCGGUAAUACAGAGGGUGCGAGCGUUAAUCGGAUUUACUGGGCGUAAAGCGUGCGUAGGCGGCUUAUUAAGUCGGAUGUGAAAUCCCCGAGCUUAACUUGGGAAUUGCAUUCGAUACUGGUGAGCUAGAGUAUGGGAGAGGAUGGUAGAAUUCCAGGUGUAGCGGUGAAAUGCGUAGAGAUCUGGAGGAAUACCGAUGG